rnacentral:rRNA from 1 species
GAGUUUGAUCAUGGCUCAAGAUGAACGCUAGCGGGAGGCUUAAUACAUGCAAGUCGAGCGGUAAGGUCUUCGGACCCUAGAGCGGCGCACGGGUGAGUAACGCGUACGAAACCUGCCUUUAAGAGAGGAAUAGCCCUGGGAAACUGGGAGUAAUACCUCAUAGUAUUCAAUUACCGCAUGGUGACUGGAUUAAAGCUGAGGCGCUUAAAGAUGGUCGUGCGUCUGAUUAGCUAGUUGGUAGGGUAACGGCCUACCAAGGCGACGAUCAGUAGGGGGCGUGAGAGCGUGGCCCCCCACACGGGUACUGAGACACGGACCCGACUCCUACGGGAGGCAGCAGUAAGGAAUAUUGGGCAAUGGACGCAAGUCUGACCCAGCCAUCCCGCGUGCAGGAUGAAUGCCCUAUGGGUUGUAAACUGCUUUUGUUUGGGAAGAAAUGUACUUUUUUAAGAGUAUUUGACGGUACCAGACGAAUAAGCACCGGCUAACUCCGUGCCAGCAGCCGCGGUAAUACGGAGGGUGCAAGCGUUAUCCGGAAUCACUGGGUUUAAAGGGUGCGUAGGCGGCCAGAUAAAUCACAGGUGAAAGUUUCCGGCUCAACCGGGAGAUUGCCUUUUGAUACUGUUUGGCUUGAAUCGCAUUGAGGUUGGCGGAAUGUGACAUGUAGCGGUGAAAUGCAUACAUAUGUCAUAGAACAUCGAUUGCGAAAUNGCUGGCUGGAUCUGUAUUGACGCUGAGGCACGAAAGCGUGGGGGAGCAAACAGGAUUAGAUACCCUGGUAGUCCACGCCCCUAAACAAUGUUUACU